AACACAUAAUCAAAAAUGUAACAAAGGUGAUCCGAUUCUGCUUACUCCCUGUGGGAAAACGAUGGAAAAUGGACCAAAGCACAGGAGCUGCAAACUUGGCUAUAAAGCGGGAGUACAGGUGGCAACGAGAUGUGGGCACACGGACCAGGCAGGAUGGGAAGGCCAGCAGCAGGGUGUGGCUGAUGCGGUCCAACGUCAAGGACAAGAGCUGGCGAGCCUGAGAUGACGACAUGACGUAAAAAAAAGACGUGGAGGGAAGUCAAAGCAACAGUGGUUGAGAUCUUGAUUGAUUGAGAUGGAAAGCAGCAUCAUGUGAAGAAUGUGAAUAAGGGAGCAUUAACGAUGAUGAAGCAA